UUUUUUCGGUUUCUUUUUCCUUUUCUUUCUUUUUUCUCUCCCUAUCAUUUUCCCUAAUUUGUUUUUCCUUUUUUUUACUAGUUUCGCACCUUAAAGAAAGCACCAUCUUUUACUCUUUUCUUUUGCCAAUUCAACUUUUAUUGGAGUGUAAAUCGUUUUGUUGUUCCUCAUGUUGUGCUUAUUGGACGGAAUUUAAUAGGUUCAUCUUUUUGUAAGUGUCUUUAGGUUUC
rnacentral:lncRNA from 1 species